AACGAACGCUGGCGGCAGGCUUAACACAUGCAAGUCGAACGCCCCGCAAGGGGAGUGGCGCACGGGUGAGUAACGCGUGGAUAUCUGCCUUUUGGUUCGGAAUAACCCCGGGAAACUGGGGCUAAUACCGGAUGGUUCCUACGGGAUAAAGAUUUAUCGCCAAAAGAUGAGUCCGCGUACGAUUAGCUAGUUGGUGAGGUAACGGCUCACCAAGGCGACGAUCGUUAGCUGGUCUGAGAGGACGAUCAGCCACACUGGGACUGAGACACGGCCCAGACUCCUACGGGAGGCAGCAGUGGGGAAUAUUGGACAAUGGGGGCAACCCUGAUCCAGCCAUGCCGCGUGAGUGUUGAAGGCCUUCGGGUUGUAAAGCUCUUUUGGCGGGGACGAUGAUGACGGUACCCGCAGAAUAAGCCCCGGCUAACUUCGUGCCAGCAGCCGCAGUAAAAC
rnacentral:rRNA from 1 species